UACGGAGGGUGCAAGCGUUGCUCGGAAUUAUUGGGCGUAAAGGGUAGGUAGGUGGUCUCAUUUGUCUGGGGUGAAAUCCUUGAGCUUAACUCAAGAAGUGCCUCAGAAACGGUGAGACUAGAGUCCUGGAGAGGGUCGUGGAAUUCCCGGUGUAGCGGUGAAAUGCGUAGAGAUCGGGAGGAACACCAGAGGCGAAAGCGGCGACCUGGACAGGUACUGACACUCAACUACGAAAGCGUGGGGAGCAAACAGG
rnacentral:rRNA from 1 species